AUUGAACGCUGGCGGCAUGCUUUACACAUGCAAGUCGAACGGUAACAGGGAGCUUGCUCCGCUGACGAGUGGCGAACGGGUGAGUAAUGCGUCGGAACGUGCCGAGUAGUGGGGGAUAACGCAUCGAAAGGUGCGCUAAUACCGCAUACGAACUGAGGUUGAAAGUGGGGGACCUUCGGGCCUCACGCUAUUCGAGCGGCCGACGUCUGAUUAGCCAGUUGGUGAGGUAAAGGCUCACCAAGGCGACAAUCAGUAGCGGGUCUGAGAGGAUGAUCCGCCACACUGGGACUGAGACACGGCCCAGACUCCUACGGGAGGCAGCAGUGGGGAAUUUUGGACAAUGGGCGCAAGCCUGAUCCGGCCAUGCCGCGUGUCUGAAGAAGGCCUUCGGGUUGUAAAGGACUUUUGUCCGGGAGCAAAUGCUGGUGGCUAACAUCCACCGGAGCUGAGAGUACCGGAAGAAUAAGCACCGGCUAACUACGUGCCAGCAGCCGCUGUAAUAC
rnacentral:rRNA from 1 species